rnacentral:lncRNA from 1 species
GAAAAAAGCCCAAUAAACCUUUUUUUUAAAACCUCUAAUUGGCUGUUAUUUAUAUCUUUUUUGAUUAUUAUUAUUUGAAUCCUUAGGGGAGGUUGAAGAUUUAUCCAGUACUUCUAUAUACCAUCCUGAAAAAUCACAUAUUGUCAUUCUCUAAAGAAAAUCUUUUAAAAUCAUUUAUAUUUAUUAGAAGAAAGAUCUGUCCUAAUUUAGAAUUUUCCUCAAAUCUGAGGGACUUUUACAAAGUGCUAAAAGACUUUCCUGGUUAAAAUUAGACAAAGCAUUGUCAUUUAAUAGAAUAUUUCAAUAAAUAUAUGGAAUAUCACUAUAUCAUCCUUUUUAUAAAUCAUUAAAAUAUUUAUUGUUUCAUCAAAUGGUUAAAUGGACCACUGGUUUCUUAGUGAAAUGUUCUUAGGCUUAAUUCAUUCAACUGUCAAGUACAUAGUCUUAAUUAAUAUACUCAGGUUUGAACAGAUUAUUCUGGACAUUUAAAUUUAAUCCAUUCUUAAUACUUUAAAACUUUUGUGUUAAGAAAAACUGCCAGUUUGUGCUUUUGAAAAGUCUGUUUUGACAUCAUAGUCUACUAGUACAAUUUGGACAGUGCGUAUGUACUGUUACUAAAAGCUUUAUAUGCAAUUAUUAAUGUGAAUUUUUUGUUUUUAUUCAAGGAAGGAUUUCCUAGAAACAUUUCAAGGGAUGAUCACUGGAAGGGCAUGUAACUUCACACAGUUAUCAUUCGAUUAGGAAAUGGAGAAUGUUUCAUCUAAAGUACUCUUCAGUGUGUUCACUGGUAUAAGUUUCACUGGUGAAGAAUUUAUGUAG